rnacentral:rRNA from 1 species
CAGCAGCCGCGGGAAUACGAGGGGGGCAAGCGUUGUUCGGAUUUAUUGGGCGUAAAGGGUGCGUAGGCGGUUUGGCAAGUCUUGUGUGAAAUCUUCGGGCUCAACCCGAAGCCUGCACGAGAAACUACCGGGCUUGAGUAUUGGAGAGGUGAGUGGAAUUUCCGGUGUAGCGGUGAAAUGCGUAGAUAUCGGAAGGAACACCUGUGGCGAAAGCGGCUCACUGGACAAUAACUGACGCUGAUGCACGAAAGCUAGGGGAGCAAACAGGAUUAGAUACCCCCGUAGUCCCUGUCUCUUAUAC